GGUGCUUGUUAGCCCAAGCCUAAGAGGGAACGGGAUGCCUGCAUCUGCCAAUCGGUAGAUUAGGAAAGUCCCGGCUGCCCCCGCAACUGUGACCGGGGAGCGCGCGCUUCAAUUGCCACUGGUGAAUUCACCGGGAAGGCGGAGUGCAUCGUAUCGAUCCGGGAGCCAGGAGACCUGCCUGAGACA
rnacentral:ncRNA from 1 species